rnacentral:rRNA from 1 species
UGCCUAAUACAUGCAAGUCGAGCGAACAGAUAAGGAGCUUGCUCCUUUGACGUUAGCGGCGGACGGGUGAGUAACACGUGGGUAACCUACCUAUAAGACUGGAAUAACUCCGGGAAACCGGGGCUAAUGCCGGAUAACAUGUUGAACCGCAUGGUUCUACAGUGAAAGACGGUCUUGCUGUCACUUAUAGAUGGACCCGCGCCGUAUUAGCUAGUUGGUGGGGUAACGGCCUACCAAGGCGACGAUACGUAGCCGACCUGAGAGGGUGAUCGGCCACACUGGAACUGAGACACGGUCCAGACUCCUACGGGAGGCAGCAGUAGGGAAUCUUCCGCAAUGGGCGAAAGCCUGACGGAGCAACGCCGCGUGAGUGAUGAAGGUCUUCGGAUCGUAAAGCUCUGUUGUUAGGGAAGAACAAAUGUGUAAGUAACUGUGCACAUCUUGACGGUACCUAACCAGAAAGCCACGGCUAACUACGUGCCAGCAGCCGCGGUAAUACGUAGGUGGCAAGCGUUAUCCGGAAUUAUUGGGCGUAAAGCGCGCGUAGGCGGUUUUUUAAGUCUGAUGUGAAAGCCCACGGCUCAACCGUGGAGGGUCAUUGGAAACUGGAAAACUUGAGUGCAGAAGAGGAAAGUGGAAUUCCAUGUGUAGCGGUGAAAUGCGCAGAGAUAUGGAGGAACACCAGUGGCGAAGGCGGCUUUCUGGUCUGCAACUGACGCUGAUGUGCGAAAGCGUGGGGAUCAAACAGGAUUAGAUACCCUGGUAGUCCACGCCGUAAACGAUGAGUGCUAAGUGUUAGGGGGUUUCCGCCCCUUAGUGCUGCAGCUAACGCAUUAAGCACUCCGCCUGGGGAGUACGGUCGCAAGACUGAAACUCAAAGGAAUUGACGGGGACCCGCACAAGCGGUGGAGCAUGUGGUUUAAUUCGAAGCAACGCGAAGAACCUUACCAAAUCUUGACAUCCUUUGACCGCUCUAGAGAUAGAGUUUUCCUCUUCGGAGGACAAAGUGACAGGUGGUGCAUGGUUGUCGUCAGCUCGUGUCGUGAGAUGUUGGGUUAAGUCC